CCAGACUCCUACGGGAGGCAGCAGUGGGGAAUAUUGGGCAAUGGGCACAAGCCUGACCCAGCAACGCCGCGUGAAGGAAGAAGGCUUUCGGGUUGUAAACUUCUUUUCUCAGGGACGAAGAAAGUGACGGUACCUGAGGAAUAAGCCACGGCUAACUACGUGCCAGCAGCCGCGGUAAUACGUAGGGAGCGAGCGUUGUCCGGAAUUACUGGGUGUAAAGGGAGCGUAGGCGGGACUGCAAGUUGGGUGUCAAAUCUGCCGGCUCAACCGGUAGCCGCACUCAAAACUGCAGUUCUUGAGUGAAGUAGAGGCAGGCGGAAUUCCUAGUGUAGCGGUGAAAUGCGUAGAUAUUAGGAGGAACACCAGUGGCGGAGGCGGCCUGCUGGGCUUUUACUGACGCUGAGGCUCGAAAGUGUGGGGAGCAAACAGGAUUAGAUACCCUGGUAA
rnacentral:rRNA from 1 species